GGGUUAGUACGCUGGUCAUGCCUUCGGUAUGUACUGGUGUUACCGAUUCCUACCUUCUGAAGAACCUUUAUGCCAUUAAUUUGGUGUGGCGGGGAAUCAGGACUGUUACUUUGAAAAAAUUAGAGUGUUUAAAGCAGGCUCGCGCUUGAAUACAUUAGCAUGGAAUAAUGAAAUAGGACGUUCGAUCCUAUUUUGUUGGUUUCUAGGAUUGACGUAAUGA
rnacentral:rRNA from 1 species